rnacentral:rRNA from 1 species
AUUCAGUGAAUCAUCGAAUCUUUGACGCACCUUGCGCCUUUUGGUAUUCCAAAAGGCACACCGGUUUGAGUGUCAUGA